rnacentral:rRNA from 1 species
GCCGCGGUAAUACGUAGGGGGCAAGCGUUAUCCGGAAUCACUGGGCGUAAAGGGUCCGCAGGUGUCCCGUUAAGUUAGAUGUUAAAUCGCAAGGCUCAACCUUGCGGCUGCAUCUAAUACUGACAGGAUAGAGGAUAGGUGACGGAAGUGGAAUUCCUGGUGGAGAGGUAAAAUCCGUAGAUAUCAGGAGGAACACCCGUGGCGUAGGCGGCUUCCGAACCUAUUCCUGACACUCAGGGACGAAAGCUAGGGGAGCAAACAGGAUUAGAUACCCUGGUAGUCCUAGCUGUAAACGAUGAAUACUAGAUAGUGGGUGCUACACCGUACUCACCGUCGUAGCUAACGCGUUAAGUAUUUCGCCUGGGAACUACGAUCGCAAGUUUGAAACUCAAAGGAAUUGACGGGUCCCCGCACAAGCAGCGAGGCAUGUGGCUUAAUUCGAUGCAACACGAAGAACCUUACCUGGACUUGACAUGUUUCUGAAAGGCCGGAGAAACCCGGUCCCUUCCAGUUUACUGGAACAGUUUCACAGGUGGUGCAUGGUUGUCGUCAGCUCGUGUCGUGAGAUGUAAGGUUAAGUCCUUAAACGAGCGUAACCUUUGUCAUUAGUUGCCACCGGUUCGGCCGAGCACUCUAAUGAGACCGCUAGCGACAAGCUAGAGGAAGAUGGAGAUGACGUCAAAUCCUCACGUCCCUUAUGUCCAGGGCCGCACACAUGCGACAAUGGUAGAGACAGCGGGUUGCGACGGGGUAACCCUGAGCUAAUCCAUAAACUCUGCCUCAGUACAGAUCGAGGGCUGAAAUUCGACCUCGUGAAGAUGGAGUUGCUAGUAAACGCCAGGUCAGCUAUACUGCGUUGAAUACGUUCCCGGGGA